ACUCAGAAGGCCGGAAGAAGGCUUCUGAGGAAGCUUUGCUGGUUGCUGGCAACUUGGGGGCUGUGCUCAGGGCUGGAGUCAUUGGCAGGGGGAGCACUGUGGCACGAACUCUGUUGGUCUGCAACUGCCCAGCCUGUGAGGAGAGCAAGCAAAGGCUUCUCUGAAGAUCAGACAGAUGCUGAGGUCCUUUCCUAUUCCCCCUUGAGCCUCCUGUCCCUCACAUGUUCCCUUUCUAGAGUGAAAAACUCAAGGCCCAUGGAUAUGACUGUGGAGUCUCCAUGGCCUGCAGCCUCUACAGUGUCAUCUCCUUGCCCAGUGUCCCUUCUCUGUCAGCUUGCCCACAAUCUAACUCAUGGAGGGCUCUGUUCCCACACAUCUGGUCAAUUACUUCCCACUCUAGACUGGAGUUGGGAAACAUCCUUCUCCUGUAAUUUUAGCUAAGACAAAAUGGGAAUUUUUCUAAAAGAUCUGUUACUGAGAAACUUGGAAAAAAUUCAUAAGGGCAAAGGGCAGCCCAAAUAUUACAGAGCAUGGGUCUUAAAAAAUAUUUCUCCUUCAAUUUCUUAUUUCAACCCUUGUCACCAGGGCCCUGUCUCCAAGUUACCAAGAUUGAUUAGCUUCCCUUUUCUCAUCUGUACAUCCAGGAUAUGCCAGAGUGAAACACAAGUUAAGAAAUGCUCUUUAAUUUGAAGUUGGUGGUACCCCAAGUGGAUUAUUCAAUGGUGGGCUGAGCAACUGUCUCACAGCAAGAGAUCUGGCUUGUAAUCCAGUCUGAGAGAAAUUUGUGUCCUCUGUGGAGCAGGCAGCUGAUGCCAAAACAUGCAGGGGCCUUUUGUCAGAUCACAUCACCCUAGAGGAAGCCUAAUUUCCCCUGACCUCAUUCCAACUGUGCCUGAACAUCUGGGCUCCAAGGAAGAUGUCCCCAGUACACCAACUGACUGAAGUCUUGGUCUAAGUUCUAUAUGUACCUUAAGAUUUGAAGAUUCUGAAACAUGAUUACAGAUGGAUAUGAACAUUCUGACUCUGACUCUGGUGUUGAAAGCCUUGGAAAAAGGGUGUGGGGGAAGCCACAGAAAUUUUAAUUAGCAUUAUAGGCAGAUGUCAUGUAACAGUGGAGGAAAGACUGGUUGUAGUAGGGCCCCCACCCUCCUAAUGAGAAAAGUGAACCUCUAGCUCCUUUAUUCAGAGUUGUCUAGCAUGGGGCAGGUUAGUGAUGGAUAAAGGCUCAGGGCCUGGAGGCAGACAGAUGUGCAUUUUGAUUCUCUGGGCUGCAAGUGGUCAGAUGUAUGAAAUACAGAUUUUGAUCCUAAGGGUAAAGAAUGGGCACUGGAAUUGUCUAGCUUCAAAUGGUGGCUCUGCUAUUAAUUUUUCUAUACACCCAUGGAAAAGUAUUUAAUUUCUUUGUCUCAGCUUUCUCAUGUAUAAAACAGGUAUAAUAUUGUACUUAAUUGAUUUGAAGACAUAUUUCCCCCCUCACACUACUCUAUAUCUGUCUUACAAUUGCCAUUGGCCAGACAGACAUUCUUAGCACUUACUACUCUAAUCUAAAAGAACUCUCUCAAUAAAGAUAAAAUAAUACUUCUAAGUAACAAGGAAA